rnacentral:rRNA from 1 species
CGCUGGCGGCAGGCUUAACACAUGCAAGUCGAGCGGUAACAGGUCUAGCUUGCUAGACGCUGACGAGCGGCGGACGGGUGAGUAAUGCAUAGGAAUCUGCCCGAUAGUGGGGGAUAACCUGGGGAAACCCAGGCUAAUACCGCAUACGUCCUACGGGAGAAAGGGGGCUUCGGCUCCCGCUAUCGGAUGAGCCUAUGUCGGAUUAGCUAGUUGGUGAGGUAAAGGCUCACCAAGGCGACGAUCCGUAGCUGGUCUGAGAGGAUGAUCAGCCACAUCGGGACUGAGACACGGCCCGAACUCCUACGGGAGGCAGCAGUGGGGAAUAUUGGACAAUGGGGGCAACCCUGAUCCAGCCAUGCCGCGUGUGUGAAGAAGGCCUUAGGGUUGUAAAGCACUUUCAGCGAGGAAGAACGCCUGGCGGUUAAUACCCGCCAGGAAAGACAUCACUCGCAGAAGAAGCACCGGCUAACUCCGUGCCAGCAGCCGCGGUAAUACGGAGGGUGCAAGCGUUAAUCGGAAUUACUGGGCGUAAAGCGCGCGUAGGUGGCUUGAUAAGCCGGUUGUGAAAGCCCCGGGCUCAACCUGGGAACGGCAUCCGGAACUGUCAGGCUAGAGUGCAGGAGAGGAAGGUAGAAUUCCCGGUGUAGCGGUGAAAUGCGUAGAGAUCGGGAGGAAUACCAGUGGCGAAGGCGGCCUUCUGGACUGACACUGACACUGAGGUGCGAAAGCGUGGGUAGCAAACAGGAUUAGAUACCCUGGUAGUCCACGCCGUAAACGAUGUCGACCAGCCGUUGGGUGCCUAGCGCACUUUGUGGCGAAGUUAACGCGAUAAGUCGACCGCCUGGGGAGUACGGCCGCAAGGUUA